rnacentral:rRNA from 1 species
CCUACGGGUGGCAGCAGUGAGGAAUAUUGGUCAAUGGGCGCGAGCCUGAACCAGCCAAGUAGCGUGAAGGAUGACUGCCCUACGGGUUGUAAACUUCUUUUAUAAAGGAAUAAAGUGAGGCACGUGUGCCUUUUUGUAUAUACUUUAUGACUCAGGAUCGGCUAACACCGUACCAGCAGCCGCGGUAAUACGGAGGAGCCGAGCGUUAACCGGAUUUAUUGGGUUUAAAGGGAGCGUAGAUGGGUAGUUAAGUCAGUUGUGAAAGUGUGCGGCUCAACCGUAAAAUUGCAAUUGAUACUGGCAGCCUUGAGUACAGUUGAGGUAGGCGGAAUU